CGUUAUGGCAAGCCAAAAGGGUCAGAAUUACGCCUAGAUUAAACGCGUUUGCAUACAAAACGCCGUUUUUUACGGCGUUUAAAACGGUAUUAGCGCCGUCAAAUACGCCGUCCUUAUAGCAGACGCCGUAAAAAACGCGCGUAAACCGUAAAAAACGCCGCAAAAAAACGGCGUUUUAGUGUUUGUAAAAAGCGCCGCUUUUAACUCCAUCGGCUUGCCACAGGACGCCGUAAAAAACGCCGUUCUGAAUGCACAAAAGCGCGCGUUAUUUACGGCGUUUUCCUUGUAGUAUAAUGAGCCACGCCCGCUGAUUUCCACAGCCAGUAAUAAUGAACUGUUCUCACCCAAUCAAUGAUGACCUGACUCAGACCAGACUAGUUUACAUCCGAGUUCGAUUGUUAUUUUAAUCACUCGAUUGGUUGGUUGGUUGAUAUGAAGAUGGCCAGGAGAAUCUUUAUUUUGCGUUGUCAGCAGAAGCUGAACAAUUGCACUCGACAGCUGACAGAAGAUUCUGGUGUACUACAAUCAACUUUAGUGAGGCUAGAAACAAUGUAGAGAAGCAUUGAAUGGGCGAGAGGAAGGCUGAUCACUGCACCAGAAGCAGACGGGUUACUCCAAGAUCUCAAUGAAUAUAUAGCAGAGGUACAAAAGCAUAGGCAGCAUGGACAACAAGCCAGUUCCAGUUAUCAGGCUCCACUCUGAUCGAGGUGCACCCCAUUACAGCAUCACCAGAGAGCAACUUUCCUUUCUGAGGACAUGUGGUUUUAGUCUUCCUUCAAUAGCAGAGAUUCUGCAAGUGUCUCUGGCUACCGUCAAACGCCGCAUGGAAGAGAUUCCAUUUGAAUCGCUCUCUGACUUAAUCUGAAAUAACCGAUGUAGAUCACAGACAUUGUGGAUGGAAAUGACCAGCUGGGAUCGGAGGCUGUCAGGGCACAGUUACGGGCAGGUGGAAAUCGUGUACAAAGACACAGAGUACGCAGGA